GUGCAGAGAAGAAUUGCAUAAAAGCUCAAAAACUUGUGAAGCAUAUGGAACGAUGCAGCACCUUUGAGUGUCAAUAUCCUCGUUGCCCUGCCACAAGAGACUUAAUUAAUCACUAUAGACGUUGCAGAGAUCUAAACUGUCCUGUUUGCAUUCCUGUCAGGAAAUUUGUACGGGCACAACAGAAAGUUGCUCGUCCUGGCUGCAAUUCUGAUAUGCCAUCUUCUGCUAAUGGCA
rnacentral:misc_RNA from 1 species